GGCGAACGCUGGCGGCGUGCCUAACACAUGCAAGUCGAAUGGGACUUAAUGGAAAGCGGCUUCGGCCAAUGGAAGUUAAGUUUAGUAGCGAACGGGUGAGUAACGCGUGAGAAGCCUGCCUCUCAGUGGGGGACAACAGUUGGAAACGACUGCUAAUACCGCAUAACACUUUAGUACCGCAUGGUACAGAAGUCAAAGCUUAAUGUGCUGAGAGAUGGUCUCGCGUCUGACUAGCUAGGUGGCGGGGUAACGGCCCACCAUGGCGACGAUGCGUAGCCGACCUGAGAGGGUGAUCGGCCACACUGGGACUGAGACACGGCCCAG
rnacentral:rRNA from 1 species